rnacentral:rRNA from 2 species
CGUGUAGGCGGCUUGGUAAGUCAGAUGUGAAAGCCCUGGGCUUAACCCAGGAAGUGCAUUUGAAACUGCCAGGCUUGAGUAGGGAAGAGGAAGGUGGAAUUCCUGGUGUAGAGGUGAAAUUCGUAGAUAUCAGGAGGAACACCGGUGGCGAAGGCGACCUUCUGGUCCUAUACUGACGCUGAGACGCGAAAGCGUGGGUAGCAAACA